AGGCUAAUUAAGAAUGUCCCUCAGUACAAUUCCAUGACGCUCCUCUGUUUCCCACAUACAUAUAUUGUCUUAUGGACUAGAUGCAAAGAUCUACACUUACACAUUUUUCUGGACCAACUCAAUUCAGCAAUAUGCACAGAAUUACAAUAUUGUUCCAAAGAUAUGAGAACUGCUAAGCCAUAAAGAGGAAACACUGCUAUAGACUCUGCCGCCUUCUACCUUCCUAACUUUGUAUAAGCUGGAACUUGUAACAAGUUUAAUGUGGAUGGAUCAAUGGCUAGGCCCAGUUGCUGUAAGAAAAUGAAAGAAAUACUCUUUGUUUCUGCUAGCAGAUAAACACAGAGAAAUAUCUCAGAGGUAAUUUAUGAACAAGUUAAGUAAGACUGGACCCAGUAUUGAUCCCUGGGGAAUGCUACUGACUACAGGCCUCCAACUGUAUUUUACUCCACUGAUCAUGAUCCUCUGUGCUCUGACAUUCAGCCAGUCCACGGACCACCUCACUGUCCAUUCAUCUAAUCCACAUUUCCUGAACUUUCCUAUGAAGGAUUGUCAUGGUGUAGCGUAGUUUGGGAUUUUAGUUAAGGAGGGAUCCAUCAGCCAUGGAAGUGAUUCUUUGCAAAGAGGUGCUUACAGCUUCCUCUAGACCCAAUAGAACCAAAAACUGGCUAGUUCAAAUAUUGGCAACUUUUUUAAGCCACUUAAGAAGCUUGACAUGCCUCUGUGAUCCACAUUUAAGAACGAACAAAGCCAGGGAAAGCUCUCUUCCUUCCAGCUUUUGGACAGGUAACUUGGGGGCCCGUGGAGCAGCCCAGUGGGGCCGGGCCAGGCCCUGCUCAGUGCAGCCUAGCUGGGUCAGGCACGGCACGGCUUGGCUGAGGUCUCAGCCACUUCUGCUCGCUGGACACCCAGUGCAGCCCCCUCAGUGUGGGCCAGGCCGGCCAGGAGACAGCCACCCCGGAGCCGCGCAGCCCUGUUCCAUCUGCGGCCCUGCUCCGUGCGGGCCAGCUCCCACAGCCCUGCUCCAUGUCAGCAGCACCGCAGCGUGGCUCGGCCAGGCCAGCCCUCACCCAGUGCAGCCGAGAUUCAUUUGAGGCCACUGCCUGGCAAAGAUCGUGUGACCAACAGCAAAAGGCGAAUUCCAGCUGCAAGGCCCGGGUGAGAUCAACUCUCUUAGUGCUAUAAGAUUCUCCAGAACAGAUGAAGCCUGCAGACAUCAAUCCUCUCCCAAGUCAGAGGAAGAGGAAAGGUGAAGGCACGUG